UACAUCGCGGAGCGGGCGAUGGCUUACCUGGAUCGCCUUGGAAGCUCUGGAGUAUUGAGCCUGCUGCAUCUAAAUCGGAGCUGUGGUCAACAGAGCUUCCAACAUUACCUUCGCCGAGGGCCGCCAGCGUUGAAUCUCCGCCCAGCGCGGCCUGUUGUCCUCGGAAGCAGCGGACUCUGGUAGGAGGCGGCCAACUCGGAUGCCCAAGCCGCGGAAAUGUGGUAAAAAGAAUGUGAUGUGACAAAAUAUUGGUGAAAUAGGUGGGCCACUACAGUCAUCCAUCUCAAGGCCCUGUGUGGCAAAUCAUAUAGGCCUUAUUUUUCUUAACAGUGAAACAACAUAGUUCAGUCAGUGAGCAUUUGCUUUUCUUGAUCUUUUCCAGAACCAACAAGUCUGAAGAACGUGAAGGAACACAAGAGUUUGACAUCCCAAACCCACCCGAGGAAGAUGUUCAACUGCUGGAACCAGCUCAUGUCGAAAACACCACAUCAGAAAACAUCCCACAACCAAGUACCAGUUUUUCUUCCUUGAGUGCACAUACACCUACAGUUCCUGCUGAAAGGUUGUCAACCACCAAACGACGCCUCGCCAGGACCCCUUCUCCAGCACCACCAACCAAAUGACCGGAGAUGAAGUUGCGAGAAUAUGCCGAGAUAGAGCACCAUCUGAAAAUGGCCCAUCUUGAAGAAGAACAUAUUAUGCGAAAGCAAGUGAUUGAGCUAAUAAAACAAUACCAGAUGAAAAAUUUAGAGCUUUUGCUGACUAAAUUACCAUAAUGAUAAUUACUGCAAGGACAAACUUUUUUUGAUUGUUGUAUUCAUAUUUGUUUUCCUUUUCUCAUAUUGAUACAUGCAUUGGUGCAACACUUUUAAACAUCACAGACAAAUUACGAGUGAUGGGCCAUUCUCAGUCGGUGCUUUUUUUGCAUAUUCUCAACUGGUCAACUGGUUUCAGCAGCUGAACAUCUUCCUUAACUCAUGUGUACCUUCUGCUUCAUGUUCUUCAGACUUGUAGGAUAUUUUGGCAACAUCAGUAACUCUAUAACUGACACAGCAUCCUUUUUUGUGUGUGUUAAUAUGUCUGCAUCGUCAUCAAACACAAUUUUUCAUCUGUAAGAAAUUGUGGGCCACAAGAUCUCUGAUGAGGGAAAGGGGUGAUGGGUUGGGAAAAUGCCUCCUUUUACAUGCUUUUCUGAAAUACACACCACUCACCUUUUCUUGCGGCUUCAUCCUCUUCUUUGUUUAAAUCUCUUUAGGUUAGUCUCAGAAAAAGAAGUCUUGCAAGUUGUUCAGGAAUCCUCUACGGCAUGUGAUCUUGAUCCUAUCCCAACUCACUUGUUAAAAAAAA